GACGAACGCUGGCGGCGUGCUUAACACAUGCAAGUCGAACGAAGUGGCGAACGGGUGAGUAACGCGUAAUCAACCUGCCCUUCAGAGGGGGACAACAGUUGGAAACGACUGCUAAUACCGCAUACUGAAGGAGGGGAUUGAGUCUGAUUAGCUAGUUGGCGGGGUAACGGCCAAACAAGGCGAUGAUCAGUAGCCGGACUGAGGAGAGGAACCGCCACAGUGGGACUUAGACAAGGCCCAGGACCCUACGGGAAGCAGCAGUGGGGAAUCUUCCGGAAUGGGAGAAAGUCUGGCGGAGCAACGCCGCGGGAGUGAUGACGGCCUUUGGGUUGUAAAGCUCUGUUAAUCGGGACGCGGUACCUGAACAGAAAGCCACGGCUAACUACGUGCCAGCAGCCGCGGUAAUUC
rnacentral:rRNA from 1 species